rnacentral:rRNA from 1 species
ACUUAAAUUGAAGAGUUUGAUCAUGGCUCAGAUUGAACGCUGGCGGCAGGCCUAACACAUGCAAGUCGAGCGGUAGCACAGAGAGCUUGCUCUCGGGUGACGAGCGGCGGACGGGUGAGUAAUGUCUGGGAAACUGCCUGAUGGAGGGGGAUAACUACUGGAAACGGUAGCUAAUACCGCAUAAUGUCGCAAGACCAAAGUGGGGGACCUUCGGGCCUCAUGCCAUCAGAUGUGCCCAGAUGGGAUUAGCUAGUAGGUGGGGUAACGGCUCACCUAGGCGACGAUCCCUAGCUGGUCUGAGAGGAUGACCAGCC